rnacentral:RNase_P_RNA from 1 species
UGAGUCAGUCAGGCGGCCGCGUCGGACCUCCGGGUCCGCCGAGGAACGUCCGGGCUCCGCAGGGCAGGGUGGUGGGUAACACCCACCCGGGGUGACCCGCGGGACAGUGCCACAGAGAACAGACCGCCUCCUCGGUCCGCCGAGAAGGUAAGGGUGAAACGGUGGUGUAAGAGACCACCAGCGUGCCGGGCGACCGGUGCGGCUCGGUAAACCCCACCCGGAGCAAGGCCAGACAGGGAGCGUUCGAGGGCUGCCCGCCCGAGCUCCCGGGUAGGCCGCUGGAGGCGUGCGGCAACGUACGUCGUAGAGGGAUGGCCGCCACCCGCGCACGGGGCAACCCAGCGCGGGGACAGAACCCGGCGUAUCGACUGACUCAUCCG